rnacentral:rRNA from 1 species
UACGUAGGGUGCGAGCGUUGUCCGGAAUUAUUGGGCGUAAAGAGCUCGUAGGUGGUUGGUCACGUCUGCUGUGGAAACGCAACGCUUAACGUUGCGCGGGCAGUGGGUACGGGCUGACUAGAGUGCAGUAGGGGAGUCUGGAAUUCCUGGUGUAGCGGUGAAAUGCGCAGAUAUCAGGAGGAACACCGGUGGCGAAGGCGGGACUCUGGGCUGUGACUGACACUGAGGAGCGAAAGCAUGGGGAGCGAACAGGAUUAGA